rnacentral:lncRNA from 1 species
CCACCCCCAGUCAUAUCUAAACGGCUGGACUCCAUAUCUUUUGAUCGACUUCUCAUAUCAAGUUGUCCACCCAUCUCUGACGAUAGCUUUCCAAAAAAUUAAAUAUUCAUUGCUAUCUUUUAAACUGUUUCAUUUCCUCUCGAGACUUCUCUUGUCUGGCCAUCUUGCCCAUCACCCUUCUGGCUCCAUGUCUUGUCGGUUUGAGUCUUCUUGCACUAGGUAAGAGAUUACUUCACUUUCUAAUGCUUCCUUUGCAACUUUGUGGGCAUACAUGUUUUCUCUUCUAUGUAUAUGUUUAAAGUCUAUUUUUUGAAAAUGGACACUCAAAUUCUGAAUAUAUCGUAUAAUCGCUCCUAUAGUGAAUCUGUCUUUUACUUUUGUUUGGCAUUUCCGGAUUACUAUUCUUGAAUCUCCUUUAAUUUGAAUUUCCUAAAAACCCAAUGAGAUUCCUAACUUUAUGGCUUCCAAUCCUACAAACGCUUAUGUCGCAAACGGAGAUGAAACAUUGUUGUGGAGGACUGUCUUCGAGGCUAGAAAUUCAUCCCUAUAUCCCCAAAGCACCACCCCUGACGCAGAUCUGAAGGUUCUCUUGUCAAACGCAGCAUCAAAAUGCAUGUUUACCUUUGGUAAAGUUUCUGGACAUCUGUGUAUUCUGGCCAAGUCUAGAAGAUUCUGUUUUAUCCUUAUUUCAUCUUGUUCCGUCUUUAAACUCAGUAUUUUUUGAGCAAGAUUUCCUCAUGAAAUAGAUAUUCUCUUAUGAACAAGCUGGUUCCUGGAAUACCAGAUUUGCCAUAAUACAUAGCAGAAGACCUGACACUGAUCCUCAGAUCCUUGCAUGAAUUAUAACACCCUAUACCCGUAACCCACACUGACUCGGAGUACGAAGCAUUGCCUAACUUUAUCUUAUGCAUACAACAGUCUCAAGUCAUCGAAACUUGGUCCAAAUUAAAACUUUUUCAAUUUCUACUUUAAACUUCUUAUUAUGGGCCUACAAGCCCUAAAUCGAUCAUUAAAAACUAUUUAGAAACUUUCCGAGUCCUUAAACCAGCCUUAAGAAAUUUGCCUUUAAAACAGGAGACACACCGGUGUGGAAGGGUAACAUGCCCGUGUGACCAUUUCGACAUGGUUGUGCUGAUGGUCUGUGUGGCUCACAUAGCCUAAGCACCCUGGGACACGUCUGUGUCCUAUACCCGUGUGGAAUUAAAUUCUAAUUCACAACUACAGGGGUUUUCACACAGCCAGACACACGCCAGUGCCAAUGUCCCGUGUCCCUCAGAGGGCCAGGACAUGCCCGUGUCUUAACCUGUGUACAAAAACCUGGGUGUUCUGUUUCUGACGUCAACAUCGCUAAAUUGUCACAUGGCCAAGGCACACCCCCGUGUACUAGGCCAUGUCCUCCACACGGCUGAGACACACGGUCAUGUUUCUAACCGUGUGUUUAUUAUCAUGUAUACUAACUUGAAAUUUUUACGUGCAGGGGACACACAGCCGAACUACAUGCCCAUGGGGCAAACCGUGUGUCACACACGGCCUAGACACACGUCCGUAUGUCUACCCGUGUGGACAAUAUAAGGCUAUUUGCCAAGCCUUAUUGCCACUCUUAUAUACCUAGUUCCAUGUAAAUUCUAACCAAUACCAAGACAAACACAAUUUCUAUAAUCAAACAACCACAACAGACAUUCAUUUAACCAUGACAAUAUAUCUUUUUAAAUCAAAAUGAGUGUUAGCCAUCAUUCAAGGCUUGACACAAAAUGAAGGGUUCCCAACCCAAGUCAUUACCAUUGGCCAAUUCUCAAAGGCACAACACAAUAAAGUCUAAGCCCUAUACAUGCCAUAUUCAAAAAUAUAAAUCCAACAAUACCGAUUGCUUCGGCUAAUAGUGUGAUCGAUAUCUCUGACUUUUGGUGAUCCUUGAGCUAGAUAGGCGGCACUGUAAGGAAAUGGAAAGGAAGAGGUGUAAGCAUAAAGCUUAGUAAGUUGCACAUAAAUAGAUAUACAACAAUAAGUCAACCGUUUAUCAACAACUGAUGAUACCAAAGUGGGCAUAAGCACGACUUACUCUUCACUUUAUACAAAUCACAUAGCAUAUACAAUAAGUUCACAUCUUAUACAUAUGUAACACUUAGGUACCUGUAAUACUCACAAUACGGUUAUACUUUCCUGAUUAACUUAAAUUUAUAACUCUUGCCAUUGAAUCAUUCGGAACACUAUCAGAUAUUUCAUAAGCCUCAACCAUGGGUAAGGUACUGAUGCCUACACUGGCUAUCAUCUUCGAGGCCGAUGCCAUGUCCCGGACAUGGUCUUACACUAGCUCUCACAUAUAUGUACCGAUUUUAAGUCCCAGACAUGGUCUUACACUGACAUAUCUCGUAGCCGAUGCAUGUCCCAGACAUGUUUUACACUGGCUUACGUUUCGAGGCCAAUGCAUGUCCUAGACAUGUCUUACACUAACACUCACAUACCUGUGUCGAUGCCAUGUCCCAGACAUGGUCUUACAUUGGCUCUCAUAAUGUGGCUGAUGCAUGUCCCAGACAUGUCUUACACUAGCUCACACAAAUGACCCAAGUGAUACGACAUGAAUAUCCGGUUUACUUCCUAAGGUCCCAACGGGGAUUCUACUAUCUCAAUGAUCAUUACACAUUCUCAAAUCUCGAAAUCAAGCAAUUCAUGCCAUAUCUAUUCAAUGAAAAUUUAAAUACGAAUAGUAGCAAUGUAGUUAUAUUAUUUACAUACAACUUACCUCGGAUUUCAAAAUGUAGCGACUACACGGUUUAGUCGAUUUGCUUGGCUUUCAUGUAGUCUUGGUUCGGAUUUGACAAUUCUUGAUCUAUAUUAGAAAAAUAUACCCGUUUAGUCACUAAUUACAAUUAGGCAAUUUAAAAUUCAUAUUUUCAGUAAAAUGACCAUUUUGCCUCUAGACUUUGGCAAAAUGACCAUUGUACCUCUAUGCCCGAAAAUCGAUUUUUAUCAAAUUUAUUCACUUAUUAAGCUUAGUUGAACUUUUUUUACUGUUAUAGAAACUUAAAAUUCUCUCUAUUUCACACACUUAUCACUUAUUUUGCAACUUGUGCAAAAUAGUCCCUUUAGGUGCUUUCAUGCUAACGCAUUUCACAAAAGUUGUUUAUAAGACAACCAAGACUCAUUUUCUUCCAUAAAAACUCAGCAAAAACUACAAAUCCAUUCAUGGAAAAACCCUAAACUCUUAAUCAUUUUGCAAAAUAGAACCCUAAUUUGAAAGCUUAUGCUUCAAGGAGUCUAAAAAUGUAAAAAUCCUUAAGAGAAACUAUCAAAAUCACUUACUUGCAAGUGCUUCAAGUUGCUGAAAAAUUUAAGCUUUCAAACCCCCUAUCAUGGCUGAUAUUUUUGGUGGAAAGUCAUGAGAAGAAAAGAAAUUGACAACUUUUUCUAUUUUAUUUCUUUUUGGUCAAAAUAGCUACCAAAUUUCCACCUAAUUUUGAAAAUUGUCUCCCCUAUGUCUCAUGGCCGGCUAUACUAUCAAUUAAGGGUCUAUUUUCCCAUUAAAGACCCCUAAUUUUGGUUAUCAAACAAAAUAACACCUUUAGAUAUCAAUUUAUGACUUUUACACUUUAUGCGAUUUAAUCUUUUUUUGCAAUUGGGCUCACAAACGUCAAAAUUAACUUACCAAAAUUUUCAUGUACUAAUAUAAACAUGCUAUGACUCAUGUAAGCCAUGUACAAAAUUUUCAUGUACCUAAAUCGAGCUGUUACAUGAAUACCCAUGUAAGUUAUUCCCAAAAAUCAGUAUAUAAGUAAUUGGUUACCCAAGAGAUAUCUAAAUACUACCAAACUUCAAUACUUGCAGGACAUUGCCUAAGAAUGUGAAAGCAGUCUUCUACCCCAUAGCAGCAUGAGGACAGCUGAAAUUCAUGACCACCCUUCUGCUCCUGAGAUUAACCAAUAUGGGUAGAUAAUUCCAGGAGAUGCGCCAGAUUGUAAUUGUUAUUUUCAUAUGCAGUUAUAGGCUCCAUAAUUUUCUGAAAUUUUUUUUAAGAUCAGCCUGUAAUAAAUUACUACUAGGAUCUAGAGUAGAAUCCUGUAAUAGUUUAUAGGCACUGCGAACGGAGUAUUCACCAGACUUUUCCCUUCCCUCCUCCAAACUUGACUGUCCUCGUGGCCUAUUUUUGCAAAAGGAAUCUAUAGUAUUUUUUGAGCAAUCUCUUCUUGGAAGGUAUUGUGGAUCAAUUCUAUUUUCCAUUUCAUACUCGAACAAUCAAUAAGAUUUGAAAAUAACUCCAAUUGCUCAUUAUUUGUGUUGUUUUGUCUAUUAAUUGUGUUUAUUCUGGGAACCCAACAGUCAUUCCAAAUAGAGAUUUCCUUUCCAUUCCUUACUCUCCAACAUAGCCCACUAUGAAGCAGUCCCUUUGAGGCCCAAAUGCUCUUCCAAGUGAGAGAAGGUAGACUUCCUAACUGAGCUUCAAGAAAAUUAGUCUGUGGAUAAUAUUUUGCUUUUAAAACCGUUUCUAAUAACGAAUUGGGAUAAUUAAUCAGAUGCCAUCCUUGUUUGGCUAAUAAAGCUAUAUUAAAUUAACCCAGAUUUCUAAAACCUAACCCACCAUUCUCUUUUAAACAGCAAAGUUUUUCCAAGUGUACCAAUGAAUGUCCCUACCUCUUUUUCCCUUUUGCCACCAAAAUUUCACAAUAAUAAUUUCCAUAUCAUCACAUAGAGUUUUAGGUAAUAGAAAACAAGCCAUCGUAUAAGUCGGAAUCGCUUGAAGAAUAGCUUUUAUAAAAACUUCCUUCCCCUCCUAGAUAAAUAUUUAAUGCUCCAGUUGUCAAUGUACUAUUUAAUUCGGUCCUUCAAAAUUUGAAAAGACUCCUUCUUUCUCCUACCCAGCAUGUUUGGCAAACCUAGAUAGCAUUCUGGUUCGCUUGAGCAUCAAAAUGAUAAUAAAUUAACAACUACCUGUUUAUCCGCCUCCGAUGUGUUUCUGCUGAAGAAAACAGUCGACUUCUCAAAAUUAACUUGUUGUCCCGAACAGCAUCUAUAUUCACCUAGAAUUUCUUUAGAUAAACUUGCACCCCUCAUAGAUGCCUACCAAAAAAAAAUACAAUCGUCCGUAAAUAAUAGAUGGUAUACUGCUGGUCCACUCCUAUUGGCCUUCACCCCUUUUAACCGUUCUUCCUUCAUUGAUAAUCUCAUUAAGCUUGAUAAACCCUCUCCACAUAAAAAUAGAAACGGGCUUAAUGGAUCUCCUUGUCUAAGACCUCUGGUUGGUUGAAAUUUCUCCCCAGUGAAUCCAUUUAUGACGACUGAAUAAGAAACAGAAGUAAUGCAUUUCAUAAUCCCCUCAACCCAUUUUGUAGCAAAACCCAUGCAAAUCAUUAUUCCUUUAUGAAACUCUAUUUAACCCUAUCGUAAGCUUUGCUAAACAGAAGUAAUGCAUUUCAUAAUCCCCUUAACCCAUUUUGUAGCAAAACCCAUGCGAAUCAUUAUUUCCUUUAUGAAACUCUAUUUAACCCUAUCGUAAGCUUUGCUCAUGUCCAAUUUAACUGCCAUAAAACCUUUUCUUCCAUUCCUUUUUUGUUUAAGCGUAUUUAGGAUUUCAUAUGCUAGCAACACAUUAUCUGAUAUCAAUCUACCUGGCACAAAAGUGCUUUGCACUUCAUCAAUACAUUUCCCAAUCACAUCUCGAAAUCGAUUCGCUAUAGCCUUCGCCAAAAUUUUAUAUAAGACAUUACAUAGACUGAUCGGACAAAAGUGCGUCAUAUUCAUGGGAUUAGAAUUCUUUGGGAUAAACAGAAUAUUAGUAGAAUUGAACGAACUCACCUCCAUAUACCGUUUAGAAUUUGUAGACAAAAAGAAGUGACCUCAUCUCCAAUAAUGUACCAACAUUUCUGAUAAAACAAGGCUGGUAAACCAUCCUCUCCUGGUGCCUUUAUUGCCCUUAUCUCAAAAACCACUUCUCGAAUAUCUUCACUUGUCUAAGCUGCUAUCAGGUUUAAAUUAUCCCCUUCAGACACACAAGGGUCAAUAUCAGACAACACAUAAUCAUAGUUCCUUUUUUCUCCAGCUGUAAAUAAAUUAUGAAAAUAAGACCUUGCAACACCUUCCAUUUCAUACAGCACUUCCAUGUCCCUACCUUUAUCAUUCUGCAGCUUAUGGAUCAAAUUUUUUCUUGUACGUUGAGAUGCUAUGCUGUGAAAGAAGCUGUAUUCUUAUCCCCAAAUUUCAACCAAUUAAGUCUCACCCUCUACUCCCAGUAACGUUCAUCUUUUUCAAUUUCAAGAUUUAAAUGAAUUCUCGUAUUGAUCAUCUCCACCAUACAUUCCUCAUCUCUAUCAUUGGCCAUCAGUUCAGCCAACUUAUCUGUAAGAGCCUGUCUCCUCCUCCUUCGAUUCAUUUGAAUUUUCCUUGCCCAUUGACUCAAGCCUUUCUUUAAAUUAUCCAAUUUCUGUAAUAGUCUUCCUGAAGACAACCCCCAUAAACGUUUGACUUCUUUAAAAAAAAUAUCCUUCAAAACCCACCAGGCUUCCAAUUUAAAAGUGUUACUCCUCAGUCAAUCUUUACCCAUUUUUGUAUUAAUCAAAAGUGGACAAUGAUCUGAAAAGGAAUGAACUAAGUGUUGCACCUUAACCUCUAGGAAUAAAGAAAUCCAAUCAAUAGUAGCAACUCCUCUAUCCAACAGUUCUUGUAUAUUUGUCUCUGAUAAAUUGCCUCUUUCCGACGUAAACCAUGUGCUAAAAAACCCCACAUCAACCAAUUGACAGACUUCUAAAGUUCUUUGAAACAGCUCCAUUCUUCCCUCAUCUCUAGGUAGCCCUCCCUUUUUCUCAAACACAUACAUAAUUUCAUUAAAAUCCCCACAUACAAACCAAGGGAUAUCCUCCACGUCGAUCAGACUCUUCAACACCCUCAAGUGUCAUUCUUGUCUUAUGCAUAUAGGGAGCUAUAAUAACCCAUAUAUCUCUAUUUGACUCCAACGUCAUUGUCAUCAACAAGCACAUCUAUAUGUCUUUUGGAAAACGGUCGAACUGUGAAAUUAACCACCACUUUCCAAGCCAAACAUAGACCUCUUCUAGUACCUUCAGCAUCAACCUCAAUACCAUUCUGAAAACCACAGCUUCGUCUAACUCGCUCCAUCUUCUUUCCACAAAGCUUUGUCUCCAUGAAGAAGACAAUUUGGGGAUUGUAUAACUUCAGCAUAUGUCAAAGACGUUGAACCGUCCAUCAAGCCAAUUUAAUAUUUAAAUAUGCUAUUGUUGAGAAAGAAAAAAAAACCCGUAAAGAUAAAGAUCUAAUAAGUUGAUAUACCUUUCUUGUUUGACAUUGAGUCUUGAUGAUCUUACCAAGAAGUAAGCAAAUAAAGAUCUAGUAUUAUACUUUGAAUGCAAUCAAAAUUCAUCAAUAACAGAAUCUCAAAAUAACAUAUAUGAUACUAAUACACCCCAACGUUAAGAACACUGAAUCAAAAUUAUACCGAUAUCAAAAUAUUCCAAAAACACAUGUUGUCUAAAAUUUAGAAUAUAUAUAUUCAAAUUGAAACAAUCAAAUAAACACAUAAAACAAUUAGUUUAAUGAUGACUAAGGACCGAUGCGAAGUCAAAUAUUAUAAUGAACCUUAGGCCUUAAUUAAUAAAAUUGAUCAAUAAAAUUAUGGAUCGUUAUUUACAAAUCUAUCAAUUUAUAAUAUUAAAAUUAAUCUAUCAUCAUUCAAACAUAAUCACCAAGCAAUUAUCAAAUAGCAUAUAUUAAGAAAAAUAUUUUUUUAUGAAAAAACAUCUAGGUACAUAUAAGCUUGUGAUGUGAUAAAUAAAUUUACUUAAAUUCCUUAUCUUCUACUAAAGUUUCAAUAGCACGACAAGCAAUCCAUAAAUUUUGACAUUAAAUUUCUUUUAAUCAAAAUCUAUAUUGAGAUCAAAUCUUUUACCAUCCUUAAAAUUUAGAAGUAAAUUAAAUUAAAUUAAAUCAUCAUAAUAAAUAAGUCUGAUCUUUAAUAGAUAAGUAUAAUAAAACUAAGAGAAUUAUAGUAAGAAUAAGAGAGAAAAGUAGACACAAAAGUGAAACUAUAAAUCUAUUUUUCUUAGAUUCAAUAAGCUCGUACAUUCCUUUUAUUUAUAGGGUUUCAAUCACUAUAUGUUACAAAUAUAUAAUAAAGAUAAUUAAAGUACCCUAAAAAUUCUUUAAGGGCUAAAGAGUUACAAAAGAAUGAUUUUGAAGAUUCUGAGAGUUAUAUGGACAUCCAUUUAUCAAUGGAUUUAUAACAAAAAAAAAUAAUGAUGAACAUAAAAUAUUUUUAAUACAAUCAUUAUAUAUAUUAAAUAUAGACUAAAUUAUUAAAAUAGUCACUUUUGUUUCCCUUAAAUUACGUUUUAGUCAUUUAUGUUUAAAAUGUUACGUUUUAGUCACUUAUGUUAACGUGUUCUAACAUUUUAGUCACUGAGUCGUUAAUUUCCGUUAACGGUGCAACAGUAAGCUGAUGUGGAACGUUCAAUCAUCAUUUCAAACAAAAAUUUUAGGUUAAAUUAUACAAUUGGUCCCCAUAUUUUUUCGUUUUGAACACUUUUUUUCUUUUAUGUUCUUUUAACUUUCUUCUUCUUCUUUUUUUUCUAUUCUCUUCUGCUUCUCUCUCUAUUUUACUCUCUUCACCAUCUCUUUUAACAUAAAAGAAAAAAAUUAAAUUGUUCAAAAUGAAAAAAAUAUAUAAAUUAAUUGUAUAUUUUAACCUAAAAUUUUCGUUUAAAAUGAUGAUUUAAUACUUACCGUUACACUGUUAAUGUCAACUAAUGCUUAGUAACUAAAAUGUUACAACACAACAUAAAUGAUCAAAACGUAACAUUUCAAACAUAAGUGACUAAAAUAAAAUUUGAAGAAAAUAAAAGUGACGAUUUUGGUAAAUAAAAAAAAUAAAUUUAAUGAUUAUAUCAAAUAUAGUAUUCUUUUAGGAUAUAAAUAUAGUUAAAUUUGUGUAAGCAUGUUUGAGAUGAACCAAUCGGAAUCCAGAAAAAUAAUAAUAUUCUCAUAUUUUCAGUCAUUCCUUUUAUAAACAUUAAAAACAAAGGAAAAUGGAAUAUUUGUUUAGAUUAAACCUGGGAUAAAGUAACGUUUUCAAAAGAAAAUUAUUUAAUUUAGAUUUAAAUAAUAAUAAUGUGUUGCUAAUAAAAUUUAAAGCAAAUUUAUGAAAUAAAAAUUAAAUAUUAAAAAAUACAAAUAUCCAGCACAAGAAUUGAGAACAGCCACUAAACUAGAAAGAGAAACCAAAACUAUAUGCUUACCAUUACGAAAUACCAAGUCCAAGAGGUAAUUAUUUCACUAAAUCUCAACUCCAAAUAUAUGAAUAUAUGUAUAUAUAUCACCCUGAAUCCCUCGGCUUGAUCGUUGCCUUCAAGGCAUUCUUCAUUACCACCGUGAACUCCAAUUUCCCACUAAAAUCCACCUUGCUAUUUGCUGGAUAUGCACUCCAUUCAAACUCCUGAACCAUCCUCGCUAACAUCAGGUGAACAUGCACCGUCGCCAUCCCUAAACCAGGGCAAAUCCUCCUCCCUACCCCAAACGGCAUCAUCUUCACCCCUUUCACCCCCAUUAUAUCACCAUCCUCUUUCCCUAAGUAGAAUCUAUCCGGGUCGAACUUUUCUGGGUCGGACCAUAUUUUCGGAUCGUCGCCGAUUCCCGGCAGGUAAAUCUCCAGGUUCGCAUCCAUCGGGAUGUCGUAUCCCCCCAAUGUUGCUGCCUCCUCAGUAGCUGCGUGUGUGAGCGAAAAGUACGUCGGUGGGUGCCUACGUAAGAGCUCUUUCACUACUGCUUGCAAGUACUUGAGCUUUUCGAUAUCUGUUUCGUCUACUUUUCGAUCCCCGACCGUGGAUUUGAUUUCGUCCAACAGUUUGGAUUGGAUGUCUGGGUUUUCAAUUAGCUGUGCGAUGCCCCACUCGAGUGCGGUUGCGGUGGUAUCGGUGCCGCCGUUGAGGAACUCAGAGCAGAGUGUGACCAGCUCGGAAUUGGACGGUGCUGAUUUUCUUCCUUCAACUUUGAGAUCAAAAAGGGUGUCGAGGUAUGAAAACGACAUGGCGGAUCGAUCCGAUCCUGGGUUUAAAAGAGCUUCUCGACGCUUUUCGAUGAACGGGACGAUGUAAUCUAUUUGAUGUUUACGAACUUGGAGCGCUUGCUUGCGUUGCUUGGAGAAAAAAGGGCUUAAAAUGGGGAGAUAAUCGUCGAUUCUUGGAUCAAGUGUGAUCAAAACAGUUUUCAUUACUUCAUCCAUUUUCUCCACUGUUUCUUCAUCCAUUUCAACCCCAAAACACAUGGCUAAGAGUAUACAAAAAACGGCGAAACGAGCGUUUUUCAGCACCGAGACAACACCGUCAUUGGCGGCGGCUUCGGCUUUGAGACGGUCGAUGAGUUUAUCCAUUGCAUGCUCUCUAGCAGUACGAAACUCUUUAAGCCUAGUCGAACUCAACAUGUUUUGAACCAUGUUUCGCCUCAGAGACCUCCACACAGGACCGUAAACGGCGGCGUUUACGGUGAACUUGUUGCAGCUAAAGAUAUUCCGAGUGGGGUUUUCCCUCGGCCGGCUAGCGAAAACAACACCUUUUUCGAUAAACGCUUCAUGGCAGAGUUUGGCGUCGCUAAGUAUAAUCAUGGUUCGAGUCCCCAUCUUGAGAGUGAAAAUGGGUCCAUAUUGAUGACGAAGAUCAUCAACGUAUUCAAAGAAUGGUUUCCCAGAGCGAGCAACCUGGAAAAGAUUACCAACAACAGGCCAACCAGGAGGCCCUGGAGGGAGAUUGAAGCGUCGUUUGGCUUUUGAUUUGCAUGAAAAAAACAAAAUCAAGCAUGAAAUGAAGAAAGCGAGGACAUGGUAAAAUGAAACAGCCAUAUCUGUGAUAGAAAUAAUUUUUAGCAGAUAGAUGAUUAUUUAGGGAAGUGGCGGUAUAAAAAUAAGUAGUGCAUGAAAUUACAGGUGGGCAGUGGGCUGCCAUUAAAGCUGAUAAGGGAAGGUUUCUACUUUUUACUGCUGGGUGUUAAAUGCCGAAAAACAAACCCAUGGGCUACGAAGAAACCAGCUAAAAAGCAAAAGGAGUAUAGAAAAAGGGUAAGGGUAUCUGUGAAAACGAAUUAAUUGCAUGCAACUACUCAGUCUCAUGGAAUCUAAUAUGAAGAUUGGAAAUGCAGAGGCGUUGGAUGUCUACACCUGUUUGACUUCAUUUAUGUCUACUCCUUGGUACUUAAACCGUGAGCCCACGGGUUAUUUUUGUUUUUCCCUUUGAACUAUCACUCUCAGCUGUUUCAAUGGUGCAGUAUUCAACCAGCUCUUUAAAACCUCACCUUCCUAGAGCCAGUUUUACAAUAUUCUAUCAUUUAAUGAGCCAAUUCCUAAAAAGAGUGAAUAUGUUGAAAUUUAAAUGAAUAUAAAUGAGUUUAUUUAAGAAUAUAAAUAAACUAACAAAAUUAAACAAGUUUUAAAAUCUUAUUUAAGCCAAUAUCUUUUAAAAUUGAUUUGGAUUUUGAGCGGCUUUGUUGGUUAUAUGAGAUAAUAGGGCAUCCCGUAACUUCUUAAAUCAGACUUAAACGUUAUGAUCGAAUCUUGAAAGUUAUAUUAGCCAACGAAAUGACUAAGUAAAAGCGUCUGGUUUGAAUAUCACUAUUUUAAUCUAUAUUCAGAAAACCUAGCACGGUUCCAUUAGGUUUGUAAAAAAAACAUUGGUUUAUUAGGUCAUUUAUAAUUUAAGUUCAAUUUAUUAUAAGGUCGUGCCGUUAGAAAAAAACUUAGUUGAUUGUAUCAACAAACCACUUAAAAUCUUGUUUUACCGUUACACAACGGAAAAAGUGUUGCAUUUGAUUUUUGUAUAAAAAUCCGUGUUUUAAAUCGUAUUUGGCCGGUUAUUAAAUUUGUUCUGUUUUCAUGCAAAUAUCUCAUGCAUGCAAAAUCCCAAAUAAAAACACUCAUACCACAAUUCAUGCUUAAUAAAAUUUGCAGUCCCAAAAUAAAUGAAGUAAAAUUUAAUAAUAUUUAAUUAUGAGAAAAUCUGAGAUGAGUCCUCCGUAUGUUGAGUCGAGCCUAAUUCUGAGGGUUAUUUGUAAAGAGUAAACUAAGGGGUGAGCUUAAAAAGCUCAGUGUGAGUCCAAGCAAAAAUAAGCAAACAUUCAGUCAAUGAAACAUUCAAUUAUUAUAAUAAAUCAUACAAUUUAUCAUGACGUAUCAAACUUAUGUAUAUGGCAUGCUCAAUGAUACAAUGCAAUAAUACUACUCAUCCAUCCGCUACAUACCACGAGUUCCUAAAACCCAUCAUCCAAAGACCAAAACAAAAAGAGUUGAAGUUCGAUAUGAUUAAACCACCAAUAACAGUAUGCAGUUAAAACUGCCAAUAAUAUGUAGACAAGCUAUCACUAAGUUGCAAUAAGUCACCAGUACUCCACAGUACUCUAGGCGCAGAUAUUCUGCUAAACAAUAAUUUUGCGGAUAAAUUGCCAGUACUCUACAGAACUUUUCUAUCACCCAAUCAAUACUCAAGCCCAUGCAAUGCCAUAUGACCAAUCAAUAACAUAGCAUAUCAUGCUGAUCAAUGACGGUAAUAGUAAUAAUGUAACAGCACGAUUUAUGGCCUAGUCGAAAUAGUGGUCUCAGGACCACAAAUUCGGAUUCGACUAAAGUAUUUUAUCAUUAUUUUGGAGUCAUUUCAUGUUUGUAUUAGUGAACAAAAAACUUGGUGAGUAAAUUUUGACAUUUGUGCGUCCAAUUGCGAAAAAAGACUAAAUAGCAUAAAAUACAAAAGUCCUGAAUUGAUAGCUAAAUGUGUCAAAUAGCUAGAGAACCUAAAUUGAGGGUCUUUAAAAUACAAUUAGACCCUAUAGAGAUAGCUUUGCCGGCCAUAGGAGACAAAUUGAUGAGAAAGUCAAUAUUAGGUGAGUUUUGGUCACCAAUUUUAACUAGUUUUAAUAUUUAAAAUAAAACAAAGGCCACAUCCUCUUUAUUUUUCUUCUUCACCGAUUUUUACCAGCCAUAUGAGGGCUUUGAAGCUUGAAAUUUUUAGCAACUUAUCAUCUCUAGAAGUACAUGAUUUUCAUACCCUUUGUUGAAGAUUUUUACAUUUUUGGACCCCUUGAAGCACGAGUUUUCAAAUGAGGGUACUAUUUUGCAAAAUGGAUAAAAGUUUAGGUUUUGCCAUGAGAGCAUCUAGGGUGUUUUCUAAAAUUUUAUGGAAGAAUAUGAAGUUUAGUGGUGUGAUAAACAACUUUUGUGAAAGGAUUUUCAUGAAGAUACCUAAAAAGGACUAGUUUGAUAAGUUGCAAAGUAGAUGAUAAAUGUGUAAUAUAGUGGGAAUUUGGAGUUUCUAUAAGAGUAAAAAGGGUUUGGAUAGGCUUAAGAUGCGAAUAAAUUCGAUAAAAAUUGAUUUUCGAGUCUAGGGGUAAAAUGGUCAUUUUGUCAAGGUCUAGGGGCAAAAUGGUCAUUUUACCAAAGAAGUGAAUUUUCGAUUGCCUAAUUUUAUUGAGUGAUUAAAUAAGUGUAUUUUUUUAUUAUAGAUCAAGAAAUACCGAAUCCGAACCUAGACCGAGGGAAGGCCAAGCAAAUCAACUAAAUCGACUAGUCACCACUUUUUGUAAUCCGGG